ensembl:lncRNA
GGAAUAUUUUGAGACCAGUUUCAUUGCAAUAGGCUAAUGCAAUAAAAAGUUAUUAGCAUUUUUAUAAAUGUAAUUAUUAAUGGUUAAUGAAUGAUUUAUUACUCUUGACCAAUAGGUGGCGCUGUUACCAAAUUGAUGUGGCAUGGUCAGUGUGAGGUGACAAUGGCACCUACAAAGUUUGGUGCAAAAAUGUCAAAGCUUUGCCGAGAUACAGCCUCAGAUGUGUUUUGGCAUCUUACGAACAAAUUCGUUGAUGCGCUAAACGAAAACCGUUUUGUAUAUCAACACGAAUUCCAUAACUUUUUGUCAGCUUGGUCUGAAGAUGAUCCGAACCAAAUUUGGUGAAAAUCGGACUAACGGUCUAGGAGGAGUUCGAAAAAGUAGGUUUUCAACUUUAAUCAAAAUGGAGGACAGGAAGUAUGGCCAAUUUUGGAAUAAUUGGUAUCGAUGUUCUCGGCAUGACCCAAAGAAUAUAGAGACAUAACUUUCAUUGCAAUAGUCUAAUUUUUUCAAAAGUUAUUAGCAUUUUUAAGAUAUUUCAUUAUAACUUUUGACCACAAGGUGGCGCUGCCACCAAACUUUUUGAGUAGCUUCAGGGCAUGG